UUGGAGUCGGGAUAGGGAAAAGAAAGAAAGGAAAAAGGAGAAAAAGAGAGAUCUUGAAAAAAAAAAAGCGCGGAGAGAAGAGCAGAAAGAGAGGGAGAUUGGAGGCAAGACUGCCCAGGUACGUUUCUGGUUACUUUUGGUGUUCUUAUUCAUACUCGAUUCCUCCAUUUGAUGAUUUCUGAAUAUUCAAUAUAUUAUUGGUUGGUGUGGACGGAAAGGGCCACAAAUUGCUGUGUUGAAAUUAGAUCUUUGUCUGUUUGAUAUGUUCAUCAUUCUGUUAAUGUCAUCGAUCCCGCCUGAAAAUAAAUUGCA
rnacentral:lncRNA from 1 species